GAUCACUUGACGACGGAGAUAACCUCGGUGCUCAGUUCCAAAUAUUAUCAGAUAUUCAAAAAUGCCUUGAUCGGAAAGAGGCUGGCUCCGGCGGCUCGCCGGGUGCUGAAGCAUGGGUUGCAUAAUGAUCAAGCGAGAGUGAGAGCUGGAUCGCAGACGGCUAGAGCGCUAGAGGAUCGAGCGGAAGUAUUGAGAUAUCAGUCAAAUGAGAACGUGAUGACCAACAGCAAACUUCAUGUGGCGAAAGCUCAUUAGAACCCUGCUUGCCAUGGGUUCGUAGAAAAGCUACAAAGCUAUCUCGUUCAUCCCCUCACCAAGCAAAUCGACAAAUCCUACCUUCUGGCGACGGCAGAGGAGCAGCUAUCCAUCCAUAUCUACAGUCGUAAACUUUAUCAUCAUCAAAUCCCCCGCGUGUAAUAUACCAUUUGUGAUAUGGGAAAAAGUUCGACACCCUGAACACCCCACGCAGAUGUGAUGACAAUGGACGGGAGUCUCGAUAAAGCGGUCACUCGUUCUUGUAUACUAAGAUAACGUGACAGUCGAGGAGAUGGAUAACAGUAGAGAUAAUCCCGAGCGAAUGGUGCCGAUCCUUUGGGUAAGGUGGUACGACUUGGAAACGUCCCAUGAGGGAGGAUAUCAGAAUGAGUCGACAUUUUGCUGAAGUGAGGAGCAGAACUCGGCCUUGGUGCAUUGGCGUUUAUCCACCCAGAGCAAGUCCUUCGAGAUAUCCAUCAGAUUCCUAAUUUUGGGGCUGCACGUGAGCAAGAUGGGAAGAUACGGAAAAAAUUAGUUUGUGACUCUGGAUGCGGAUUGUGAUAUAAUAAUGCGUCCCAUGGGGAUAGAAUCGGUGAUCAAACAGCGUGAUAGGACUUGCAAUUGACCAUGCCAAUAUUGCACUUACACCUUCUAGAACGCUAUCGAGAGAGAAAUGGACUCAACAAACUGCUGUUGUGCCAGUUGAAGCGAACAAGAACACGGAAGCUCUGAAACAAGCGGCGAAGGAAAGGAGAAAGGCAGCCCGAGAUGAUGGUGAGAUUUGUGGUGUUAUGAUGGAAGGAAAAGGAGAUGCACACGGACCAUCUGAUUAUGAAGGCGAGGAUGGAGAAAUCGUGCAUGGCCUUCAGAUGACAGAGGGCUGGAAGUAGAUGAGGGUGUUGCGAAGGAUGGUGCUGGAGCCACCGAGGUAUCGAUGGUGAGUCGGGAACGGCUUCCCUGUGCGGGAGCGGCAGAUGGGGGAAACAAAACAAGGAUGGGAAUGUCUCAAAGGGCGGCACUUGGAUCGGGUCAUCUUGAAUCGAAUCCUAGCUAGGCAAACGCCUCGAGAAAUCUACCCAUCCUCUUCAUUUCCUUGCCUUCCUUCCGUGCUGUGGCUAUUUCGCUGUUGAUGAGACAUUGUUAUUCCUUUUUUAUUACGAUUCGACGUCUGCGAAUAAAAUGAUGCAGAUGACUUAAUGGUCUUACUCUAUCCCUUCCCAACACCAAAUUUUUCAUGUCUGGGCAUGGAGGUGAUUUGAUAAGGAAAAGGAUGGAUUUGAUUGGGCGGUAAUGUUAUGAAGAGUUUGAGGCGGUACAAGAAAGUCUCAUCUAUCGAUCAAAAGAAGGCAUUGGCGAUAUGGCUUUAAGACAAUGCUGG
rnacentral:sRNA from 1 species